AAGAAAAAGAGGAAAAUAAGACAGUAGAGAGAGAAAGUAAACAUAAACGUAACAUAGGAAAUGGCGAAGAAGAAAGACACGAGAAGGGGAAGAUUAAGCUCCUACUGAACACAACUUUUCUCAUUCGACUCCUCUAUCUAGAUCUAUAUAUACUAAAAAUGUAACUCAGUCUCUGCAUAUAUGUGCGCAUAUAUAUGCAAAAAAAAUUGGUAAUGGAGCUGCUUCUGCUGGUGCUGGGUUCUGGUGUUCACACUGUUAGCUGGUAAAAGGCUUUAUCCUUUGAAGUUCUGUUUACUCGAUGAUGUUUAUUGAAUUUCUAAGAAAUUUUGUAUACACGUUAAAAUUUAUUGAUAUACGGUUUAUCUCAUGCAUGUAAUCUGAUUUUCAUCGUGCUUCGUUAAUUUUCGAUUUUUUGAUCAUCUUUAUUAAUUUUUCUAUACAGGAAAGAUUCUGCUAUGUGAAUGCCGUUUGAGUUUAUUGGUAUACGAAUGCAUAAAAGGUGACUUUUUGGAUUUUUUUUCCCAUUUUCUGUUCUCAGUUUCAUUAUUUUUAUUUAUUUAUUCAUUCUUUUGGGUUGGGUUGAUUCGUCUUUUCUGCCGAAUUAAUUAUUUUCCUUGAUGUUUAAUUACUUAUAUUUGCACUUUUUUAAAUUUUUAUGGAUUUUCCAUUAUAAG
rnacentral:lncRNA from 1 species